AAUGAACGCUGGCGGCAUGCCUAAUACAUGCAAGUCGAACGGCAGCAUGAGCUAGUUUGCUAGGUGGAUUUCGAGGGGCGCAGGGGAGUGUAAUGCAGAGGAACUUGCUAUUUAGCGGGGGAUAACGUAGCGAAAGGGAGGCAAAUACCGCAGAUACUCUGAGGAGGAAAGCAGAGGACUUACGGGCGGUGCGCUAGAAACUCGGACGUGGUUGGAUUAGCUAGUUGGUGGGGUAUAGGCUCACCAAGGCAACGAGCCGUAGCGGGUCUGAGAGGAUGAUCGGCCACACUGGGACUGAGACACGGCCCAGACUCCUACGGGAGGCAGCAGUGGGGAAUUUUGGACAAUGGGCGCAAGCCUGAUCCAGCCAUGCCGCGUGAGUGAAGAAGGCCUUCGGGUUGUAAAGCUCUUUCGUCUGGGAAGAACUCGCGCCCUCUAAUCCAGGGUGUGGAUGACGGUACCAGCAUAAGAAGCACCGGCUAACUACGUG
rnacentral:rRNA from 1 species